rnacentral:rRNA from 1 species
GAUGAACGCUGGCGGCGUGCCUAAUACAUGCAAGUCGAGCGAACGGACGAGAAGCUUGCUUCUCUGAUGUUAGCGGCGGACGGGUGAGUAACACGUGGAUAACCUACCUAUAAGACUGGGAUAACUUCGGGAAACCGGAGCUAAUACCGGAUAAUAUUUUGAACCGCAUGGUUCAAAAGUGAAAGACGGUCUUGCUGUCACUUAUAGAUGGAUCCGCGCUGCAUUAGCUAGUUGGUAAGGUAACGGCUUACCAAGGCAACGAUGCAUCGCCGACCUGAGAGGGUGAUCGGCCACACUGGAACUGAGACACGGUCCAGACUCCUACGGGAGGCAGCAGUAGGGAAUCUUCCGCAAUGGGCGAAAGCCUGACGGAGCAACGCCGCGGGAGUGAUGAAGGUCUUCGGAUCGUAAAACUCUGUUAUUAGGGAAGAACAUAUGUGUAAGUAACUGUGCACAUCUUGACGGUACCUAAGCAGAAAGCCACGGCUAACUACGU